rnacentral:rRNA from 1 species
UACGUAGGGUGCGAGCGUUGUUCGGAAUUACUGGGCGUAAAGCGCGUGUAGGCGGCUAUGUAAGUCGGGCGUGAAAUCCCACGGCUCAACCGUGGAAGUGCACCCGAAACUGCGUAGCUAGAGUCCUGGAGAGGAAGGUGGAAUGCUUGGUGUAGAGGUGAAAUUCGUAGAUAUCAAGCGGAACACCGGUGGCGAAGGCGGCCUUCUGGACAGUGACUGACGCUGAGACGCGAAAGCGUGGGGAGCAAACAGG